rnacentral:rRNA from 1 species
AAAGCGUUUCGCUUUGCGUGGUGCGCAAAAUGCGUAACGACAGCACGAUUGCGGUUAACGGAGCGUAAGCGACGUUCAACACAAAAAUCAGGCAGUGGAGCGUUUUGGGGUGGGGUGACUGCGUACCUUUUGUAUAAUGGGUCAGCGACUUAUAUUCUGUAGCAAGGUUAACCGCAUAGGGGAGCCGGAGGGAAACCGAGUCUUAAUUGGGCGUUAAGUUGCAGGGUAUAGACCCGAAACCCGGUGAUCUAGCCAUGGGCAGGUUGAAGGUUGGGUAACACUAACUGGAGGACCGAACCGACUAAUGUUGAAAAAUUAGCGGAUGACCUGUGGCUGGGGGUGAAAGGCCAAUCAAACCGGGAGAUAGCUGGUUCUCCCCGAAAGCUAUUUAGGUAGCGCCUCGUGAAUUCAUCUCCGGGGGUAGAGCACUGUUUCGGCCAGGGGGCCAUCCCGGCUUACCAAUCCGAUGCAAACUGCGAAUACCGGAGAAUGUUAUCACGGGAGACACACGGCGGGUGCUAACGUCCGUCGUGAAGAGGGAAACAACCCAGACCGCCAGCUAAGGUCCCAAAGUCAUGGUUAAGUGGGAAACGAUGUGGGAAGGCCCAGACAGCCAGGAUGUUGGCUUAGAAGCAGCCAUCAUUUAAAGAAAGCGUAAUAGCUCACUGGUCGAGUCGGCCUGCGCGGAAGAUGUAACGGGGCUAAACCAUGCACCGAAGCUGCGGCAGCGACACUGAUGUGUUGUUGGGUAGGGGAGCGUUCUGUAAGCCGUUGAAGGUGGCCUGUGAGGGUUGCUGGAGGUAUCAGAAGUGCGAAUGCUGACAUAAGUAACGAUAAAGCGGGUGAAAAGCCCGCUCGCCGGAAGACCAAGGGUUCCUGUCCAACGUUAAUCGGGGCAGGGUGAGUCGACCCCUAAGGCGAGGCCGAAAGGCGUAGUCGAUGGGAAACGGGUUAAUAUUCCCGUACUUGGUGUUACUGCGAAGGGGGGACGGAGAAGGCUAUGUUGGCCGGGCGACGGUUGUCCCGGUUUAAGCGUGUAGGUGUGUGUUCCAGGUAAAUCCGGUUCACUUUAACAC